ensembl:snRNA U6 U6 spliceosomal RNA
UCGCUUCAGCAGCAAAGAGACCAAAAUGGAUGUGACACAGAGAAAAUUAGCAUGGCCCUGCACAAGGAUGACACACAAAUUCAUGAAGCAUUCCAUAUUUUG